AGCUUCUACAAAUACACUCCUACAAAACACAAACAUCCUCACUCUCCUCUCUCUUAGCCUGCAUAUAAUACUUGCGCACAUAUAUGAAGAAACCCUCAUCUCCUUCAUAUUUUCUUUACACACACAGAAUAUGGACCAUAAAUCAAACUCACAAACAAGAACACCCCUCAAACCUCUUACUCUCGGUCUCCCCUUCCCCCUCCGGUGAACCGGCCGGAGCCGGUGGUCUUCUCCGACGAUCGACGCACCCCCACCCCCUGUUAACAAAAGGACGGCCACCACCACCGUCUAGUGGCGUCGGCGAUGGUACAUCGAGAGAGAGAGAGAUCGGUGAUGAGAGAGAAACCGAGAGCGAUAGAGUGAGAUCAGAGAAAUCGGCGGCGGUGCGGCGGCGUAAGAGUCGGGGAAACAAGACGGGGAGCCGGCGACUGAGUCUUCCGGCGAUGAUUCGCCGACGGCGACGGAGGUGUUCUGAAUCUUCUCCGGUAAACUUCCGGUAUAACCCCCAUCAUUUCCUUUUAUUUCUUGAAGAAUGAGGAUGAAGAUGAUAUUGUUUGUUGCCGACCAAUUUCCGGUUCCGAUUUGUUCAGCUGGUUCGUUUCACUCGUGGUUCAGGAUUGAUUCAGAUUUCAGGAUGGUGUAGCUUUCGGGUUCCGGGUUUGGUCCGACGGGUUUCAUUGUUAGGAGCUCACGGGUGACGUCUCGGGUUCGGUCAAACAUCGGUCAACAGAUCAGUUCGGGUCAACGGCUCGGGUCAACAGUGGUCAAGUUUCUUUCGAGUCAGGCGGCUCGGUCAGAUUCAGCUUCGGUUCGGUUGACUCGGUCAAACCGAGUCAACCCGGUCAAACUCAGUCAACAUAGCAAGUCAACUCAGCGGGUCAACCCGGUUGACUCGGUCAGCUCAGUAAACCCUUUUCGGCGUUUCGACACGAAGACUUGGUAAAAGUUAACGACAUGUUUACUAAUUUUGUUAAUCAUUCCUUAUUUUAUUUCGUGAACGAGCUCGAACCGACUUAGUUUAGUGUUUAAUUUACAUUUUGUCGUUUUACGAAAAUCAUCCAUAUUGAUAUUGAUUAUAUGGUUGAAUUAUGAAAAAUAUAUCGACACUUAGAUGUCGGGAUCA